GCUUCAGUAGUGUAGUGGUAGCAUGCGUCCGCGGCAUAGGUUAAGCGAGGGUUCAACUCCCGCCUGGGGACG